rnacentral:rRNA from 1 species
AGUGAACGCUGGCGGUAGGCCUAACACAUGCAAGUCGAACGGCAGCACAGUAAGAGCUUGCUCUUACGGGUGGCGAGUGGCGGACGGGUGAGGAAUACAUCGGAAUCUACUUUUUCGUGGGUGAUAACGUAGGGAAACUUACGCUAAUACCGCAUACGACCUACGGGUGAAAGCAGGGGAUCUUCGGACCUUGCGCGUUUGAUUGAGCCGAUGUCGGAUUAGCUAGUUGGCGGGGUAAAGGCCCACCAAGGCGACGAUCCGUAGCUGGUCUGAGAGGAUGAUCAGCCACACUGGAACUGAGACACGGUCCAGACUCCUACGGGAGGCAGCAGUGGGGAAUCUUGGACAAUGGGCGCAAGCCUGAUCCAGCCAUACCGCGUGGGUGAAGAAGGCCUUCGGGUUGUAAAGCCCUUUUGUUGGGAAAGAAAAGCAGCAGGUUAAUACCCCGCUGUUCUGACGGUACCCAAAGAAUAAGCACCGGCUAACUUCGUG